rnacentral:rRNA from 1 species
AGUGAACGCUGGCGGUAGGCCUAAUACAUGCAAGUCGAACGGCAGCACAGAGGAGCUUGCUCCUUGGGUGGCGAGUGGCGGACGGGUGAGGAAUACAUCGGAAUCUACUCUGUCGUGGGGGAUAACGUAGGGAAACUUACGCUAAUACCGCAUACGACCUACGGGUGAAAGCGGGGGAUCUUCGGACCUUGCGCGAUUGAAUGAGCCGAUGUCGGAUUAGCUAGUUGGCGGGGUAAAGGCCCACCAAGGCGACGAUCCGUAGCUGGUCUGGGAGGAGCGUCAGCCACACUGGAACUGAGACCCGGUCCAGCCCCCUACGGGAGGCAGAUGUGGUGAAUAUUGGACAAUGGGCGAAAGCCUGAACCAGCCAUCCCGCGUGGGUGAAGAAGGCCUUCGGGUUGUAAAGACCUUGUGUUGGUAAAGAAAUACAUCUGGUUAAUACCCGGGUGGGAUGACGGUACCCAAAGAAUAAGCACCGGCUAACUUCGUGCCAGCAGCCGCCGUAA